rnacentral:rRNA from 1 species
UACGUAGGGCGCAAGCGUUUGUCCGGAAUUAUUGGGCGUAAAGAGCUCGUAGGCGGUUUGUCGCGUCUGCUGUGAAAACCUAAGGCUCAACCUUGGGCUUGCAGUGGGUACGGGCAGACUAGAGUGCGGUAGGGGUGACUGGAAUUCCUGGUGUAGCGGUGGAAUGCGCAGAUAUCAGGAGGGAACACCGAUGGGCGAAGGCAGGUCACUGGG